UCUCCUGUCCUCAUCAUGAUGUCAUCACGGCUAAAUGAGCCACACUGGUGUGUGUGUGUCUGGAGACACAAGGACGGGGUUAGAGGAGCAACUGCGCCCGAUGUCAUAAAAUUGCGUAAUUUCAAUCUUAAAAACACCUAAAACAAGCGCGAUUUCUCCCGGGGGAAAGUCACAUGGAGCGAGGCGUAAUGUGCCGUCUGGCUCCCGGUGAAGCAGCCAGACCUCACGUCCUCUGGCUGCGAUCUCCAGAAUACUAACAACCAAACGGGGAGAGAGGGAGAAACAGAGGCGGAGAUGGGGGGGUUGCGCCAACCUUAACAUCUCCACAACAGGCGGCGACCACCGCCGCGUGUUAAAAAGCAAACUUCAACACCUUGCAGCGAAAUCAGCAAAUCAUCACGGGCGCUGACGUCAACGCAGCCAGUCAGUCAGCCAGACGAGCAGCAGGCAGACGGGCAGCCGGGUGCUGCGCUCCAGCUUCACACAAACACUGAGAAAGUGAGACACCUAGGGGGCUGUCUCGUGUCAAACGGCUGUGUUACAGUAGUGGAGAGACUGAGGCGGUGGAAGGUGAGCGACACUGCCCUCCUCUCCUCCAGCUGUUGCUGUUUGGACUCAACACGACCGGCGAUUCCUCCCCAAACUCCAGCCCCGAGCCAGGGGUGCGCUCAAGAGUUCGGCGGCCGUGUAGGAAGAGGGGGGGUUCCCCUUCACAUCCACCCCACUGACCGCAAUCGUUCUCAAUUUAUCAGCAAACCUGAACUAUUUUUGAGUGAACUGUGCAUUUGUCAUUUUUUUUCUCUGAUUUUGCAAUAUCAUCAUUAAAGGUUGAAUGUGAA